AAACAACCCAGGUGGGAUCUGUGCGUUUUGCCUUCAAGAAAAGCUUGGCAAGCUGGUUUCUUCUUCUUUUCCAUUACCUAUUCGUGGCUCUUCUUCUUCCUCUUCUUCUCCUUCUUUUAGAUCUGAUAUUGGUGCUGGUGUUGGUGCUAGCAAUGGUGGUGUUGCUCCUUCACUUUCUCUUUCUGUGCGUCCCACAUCUACAAAAGGUAGAACUGAAGGUGGCAAUAAUGGUCACUAUCAAGAAUACUACACGAGGAGGGUCAGGAUCCCUUUUCUUUUGGCUAA
rnacentral:misc_RNA from 1 species